rnacentral:rRNA from 1 species
UACAGAGGUCCCGAGCGUUGUUCGGAUUCACUGGGCGUAAAGGGUGCGUAGGUGGUUGUGCAAGUCUGAUGUGAAAUCUCCGGCUUAACCGGAAAUGGCAUUGGAAACUGCAUGGCUAGAGGGUUGGGAGGGGCUGGAAUACUUGGUGUAGCAGUGAAAUGCGUAGAUAUCAAGUGGAACACCAGUGGCGAAGGCGAGUCCCUGGACAACACCUGACACUGAGGCACGAAAGCCUAGGGGAGCAAACAGG